GCAAGGGGACUUCCCCAUCCAGUCUUGAGCUAAGGCUGGAUGGGGAAGAGUUUCAGGCUGGGAUCUGUAAAGCAGGGCUGUUUCUGAAGGCCAGAUGUUGUGAAUGUGUUGCUUUUUUAUUAUUUAUGCUGAUGCCUCGUUGGAGAUGCAAUCGUAGACCAGAGCCUCCCAAAGUGUAUGUCACAACACAUCAAUGUGUCUUCCGCAGUGCACAGGUGGAUUAAACUAGGGGUCCUCAAACUUUUUAAGUGGCGGGCCGGUUCAUGGUCCGUCAGACUGUUGGGGGGCCGGACUAUGAUGAAAUAGUCCAAAAUUGGGAUUGUUGUUGUUGUGUGCCUUCAAGUUGUUUCAGACUUAGGUAAUAGAAUUUUGACUUUCCCAGUAAGGUUAAGGUAAAGGUUUCCCCUGACAUUAAGUCCAGUCAUGUCUGACUCUGAGGGUUGGUGCUCAUCUCCAUUUCUAAGCCGAAGAGCCGGCGUUGUCCAUAGACACCUCCAAGGUCAUGUGGCCGGCAUGACUGCAUGGAGCGCAGUUACCUUCCCGCCAGAGCGGUACCUAUUGAUCUACUCACAUUGGCAUGUUUUCGAGCUGCUAGGAUGGCAGAAGCUGGAGCUAACAGUGGCUGCUCACGCCGCUCCCGGGGUUUUUUGAACCUGGGACCUUUCAGUCUGCAAGUUCAGCAGCUCAGUGCUUUAACACACUUCGCCACUGGGGCUCCUUAUGUUUCAGACUUAGGUCAACCCUAAGUCCGAAGUUUAGGACAGUGGCCAAGUAAAGGACCUUGGAGGGCCUUACUUUGGGGACCCCUGGAUUAAACCUUUGUGCCGGCUGAACUGCUGACCCGAAGGUUGCUGGUUUGAAUCCGCGAGGUGGGGUGUGCUCUCAGCUGCCAGCUCUAGCUUGCAGGGACAUGAGAGAAGCUUCCCACCAGGAUGAUAACACAUCCGGGCGUACCUUGGGCAACAUCUCUUUAGACCAGAGCCAGUCCAACAAUGAGGCGAAUUAAGCGGUUGCUUGGGGCGCAAAACAUACGGGGGCGCAGUCGAGACUCCUUUUUCUGUUGAUUUGUUGUAAAACAUGAUGUUUUGGUACUUAAUUUGUAAAAUCUUAAUGUAAUUUGAUGUUUAAUAGGCUUUUCCUUAAUCCCUCCUUAUUAUCCAACAUUUUCGCUUAUCCAAUGCUUUUAUUUUUCAGUGAUUGGUUUGGGGGGGGGGGGCACCAAAAUUCUGUUCGCCUACACUUGAAAAAUACCUAGGGCCGGCUCUGCUUUAGACAGCCAAUUCUCUCACACCAGAAGUGACUUAGAAUCAGAAUAAUAGAGUUGGAAGAGAUCUCAGGGGGCAUCCAGUCCAACCCCCUGCCAAGAAGCAGGAAAUCGCAUUCAAAGAACCCGCCAUCCAGCCUCUACUUAAAAGCCUCCAAAGAAGGAGCCUCCACCACACUCCGGGGCCAGAGAGUUCCACUGCUGAACAGCUCUCACAGUGAGGAAGUUCUUCCUGAUGUUCAGGUGGAAUCUCCUUUCCUGUAAUUUGAAGCCGUUGUUCCGCAUCCUAGUCUCCAGGGCAGCAGAAAACAAGCUUGCUCCCUCCUUCCUAUGACUUCCCCUCACAUAUUUGUACAUGACCAUCAUGUCUGCUCUCAGCCUUCUCUUCUGCAGGCUAAACAUGCCCAGCUCUUUAAGCCACUCUUCGUAGGGCUUGUUCUCCAGACUUCGAUCAUUUUAGUCACCCUUCUCUGGACACAUUCUAGCUUGUCAACAUCUCCCUUCAAUUGCAGGGCGCUGCGUUUGGUGGUCCCUAUGUAGACUUGUCCACAGCUGCAUGGUAUACGGAGAGCAGAGCUGAGAGCAGAGCUGAGAAGAUCCCUCUUGUCCUUGGCUGAACGUAGCAUUUGUUGGAUUUUCUUAGUAGGUCUGUAGACAGGCCACAGACAUCAGAAGAGCUGUAACGAGAAGAACAAGCCAUGAGAGUAAAGACAAAGAUCCACCCAGAGGAAAAGUGUUCUUACCAUACAUCAAGUGAACCACUGACCGCAUAGGCAAGCUGCUGGAGAAACACAACCUACAAACUAUCUACAGACUUACUAAGAAAAUCCAACAAAUGCUACGUUAAGCCAAGGACAAGAGGGAUCCUCUCACCUCUGCAGGAGUCUUACCGUAUACUAUGCAGCUGUGGACAAGUCUACAUAGGGACCACCAAAUGCAGCAUUGCCCAGACAAGAAUCAAGGAACAUGAAAAGCACUGCAGACAAACUCAACCAGAGAAGUCAGCCAUAGCAGAGCAUUUGAUGAACCAACCUGGAUGCAGUAUAUUAUUUGAGAACACAAAUGCUCGACCACUCUCACAACUAUCAUGUCAGACUACAUAGAGAAGCUAUUGAAAUCCACAAGCAUGUGGACAAUUUCAACAGAAAGGAGGAAACCAUGAACAUGAACAAAAUCUGGCUACCACUAUUUAAAAUCAGAACAGUAAAUAAGGAACAAUACUAAAAACAGAGGAUUUCCAGACAUGAAUCUAUCAAGGGCAGCUAACGACUCUGAACAAAGGAUUCCCCAGGCAAGAAGAAGCCAGGAGACGAAACUAUUCAAUGCUAAUUAAGGUGAUUAAUUACAACAUUCACACUGGCCUCCAACUGACAAGAGUUCUUCUCCCACCCUAGACCUUCCACAGAUAUAUAAACCUUCCUUUCCUAGUUUUCCCAUAUACUUCACAACCUCUGAGGAUGCCUGCCAUAGAUGUGGGCGAAACGUCAGGAGAGAAUACUUCUGGAACAUAGCCAUAUAGCCCGAAAAAUACACAACAAUCCAGUGAUUCCGGCCAUGAAAACCUUCGACAACACAUUGUAUUAUCAUUGUUUUCAGUGAUUGGUUUGGGCGAGGGGGGGGGAUUCUGUUCGCCUACACUUGAAAAAUACCUAGGGCCGGCUCUGUCUAUGUCUAAGAUCUUUGGGAGAGUCUUGUACUCAUGUUCUUGGAUUCAUGUUUUGAAAGAAGUUCCUGUAUUCCUGGUUAUGGAUUUAUGGCUAUGCUUUGAUUCCAGCUUUGUUCAUGUAUCUUGUCACUUUUGAACAGAACUGUGCUGUUUGGGCUAUUGACUUUUGAAUGUCUUUUUCCUAUUGCUUUUUGGACAUUGCUUUUUAUAUUACCUUUUGCCUUUUGGGCUUUUUAUAUUUGCUUCUCUCAAUAAACUGUUUAGUACUAUUGGACUCCUGUGUGGUGUUGGGUACAACACCUGUGUGGUGUUGUUGCACUCCAGGCUAGAGUGCAACAGUCAUUAGUAAUCUUGGCUUCCAGGAAGACUUUAAGCUUAAUUUACUCUAGGACCCAUUGAUUUGUCUUUUAAGCAGUCACGGUAUCCACAAAACUCUUCUCCAGGCACCACAUUUCAAAUGACUUGAUUCUCUUUCUAUAACUAUGCAUAGAAAUUGGAACUGUAAUAGCAUUGGCAAUCUUUAAUAUUCAGUGAUAUAUCCUUACACCUCAGGGUCUUCUCUAGCUUCUUCAUGGCUGCCCUACCAUUUUCAGAUGGAUGAUGAAGACGGUGACAGUUUUAUUGCAACAUAUUGGCAUGUUAUUGUUUUCCAAGAACAUAUCUACAAGGAAUCAACAUUAAUCAUGAUCUCGCUACCAAUGUUGACUUCCACCCACCCCCACCAACCUAAAACCAUCCUGGAGUCCUUGUUAUUAUUAAAACCCAAACUUAUGUAGUACAAGAUUAAGCUAUAAUGCUUACUCGUGCAUUUAUCUGAAUGGAGAUAUGAGAAGUAUUUCUUUGAAGGAACUAUAUAUGUGGAAUAGACUAAAUAUGCUUUUGCCUGCCCCCACCCACACCCCAAAACAGAGCCAUUGAGCCAACCUACAUAAUCUAGUAUAAUGCACGCAGAGAGAACCGCAUUAAAGAAAGUUGCCUGCAGAGCAAAUAGCUCCAGAUGUCUCAAGCAAGAGAUCUUUUGAAUGCCUGCAAUGCAUUUAUUUUAAAGAAAUGAAAUUUAGGCUUACUGCUCACCUACCAAAAAACAUUGAAUGUGAGAACAGAAAGCGGUGCUUAUUCAAAAUAGUUUUUUUUAUAAAACAGCUUUUAAAAGUGACUAUGGUUAGGAUUUCUGGAGUGGGGCGUAAUUCUAUGCAGAGUGAGGGGCUGCAGCAAUCGCCUCAUGUCUGCUGAUCCACUUGGAAAAAAGGGAAUACAAAUGAAGCUAACUGUUGAGGUAAAGCAAGGAAAAAAGAAAACCUAAUAUAAUGGCAUAAGAGCUUCAUUGAAUGGCGGAUAAUAGAUUAUAAGUUAGAUUGAUUAAUAAACCGUUUACUUCCUUUCAAAAAAUUAGAACCCUUAUAAUGGGGGUGUCAUCUUUGUAUUGUAUAGUUGCUGCCUUUUCUCAGAUGAUUUUGUUGUGUGGCGUUGUCAAAAGCUAUGUAAAGCCCAGUUCUCUUAGGGUGCUGGGACGAACAUAUGGAAAGCUAAAUGCAUUGUGGGGCUCUGCCACAAAAGGAUGCAGAAACAGCAUCUCUUACAAAUGGUUGUCCACACUCUGCUUCAAUAUACCCUGCAAAGGAGAACACACCACCAGCUAUUCCACCACUGAAUAGCUCUCAAAGUUAAGAAGUUUCUUAUCCUGUUCAGCUAAAAUCUGUUUUCCUGCCAUUUCUAGCCAUUGGUUCUAUUCCAACUCUUGGGGCAACAGAGAACUAUGCUCCAUUUUUAAUCUGAUAGCCCUAAAGGUAUUUGAAGGUUUGAAACACAUCUCCUCCCUAUUUUCUGUUCCCCAGGGGAAACAUACUCAACUGCUUAAAUCAUUCCUAGCACAACUUCGUUUCCUCACUUCUCUGUGGACAUAUUCUAAUUUGUCAAUAUCAUUCUGCAAAUGUGGUGCCCUGAAUUAGACACAGUAUUUCAAAUAUGACCUAACAAAUACAAAGGAGAAGACAAUUAUUAUCUAGUUGUGAUGCUUUUGUUCAUAGAUAGAUCUACACUGUAGAAUUAAUGCAGUUUGACAUGAUUUUGCUACAGAAUCCUGGGAUUUGUAACUUGGUGGGGCGAUAGCACUAUUGCAGAAAAGGCUAAAGUCCUUCUAAAACCGCAACUCCCACGAGUCCCAUACAUUGAGCCAUAGCAUUAAAAUGGUGUUACACUACAUUAAUUCUACAGCAGUGGUUCCCAUCCUGUGGUCUGUGGACCACCAGUGGCCCCCAUUAACAAAAAUAUGGUCCGCAGCCUCACUAUUGCUACACUGUUGCAACAAGAGCGACUGGUCUCGCGAAACCCUCUUAUAGUGCCAAGACAACGGGAGGGGAGAGGCUGACUACCCACAAAAGGCCCAACAAUAAGCCUCCUGACUGCUGCUUCUCCUCCUCCCUCCCCCUGACUGGAGCCAUCCCAUGUAGCGCCUGGAAGCAGGAGUGCCUUGAUGUCUUCGUUUUUAGGCCUGCUCCUGGGUUUAUUUGGGGCGCUGAUUCAGAAAAUUGCAUUGAAUAGACAACAUGAGCUCUAGAUUAUUAAAUACGGUUUUCUGUGGGCGAGCAGAUGGCAACUAUUGGAUGGCAUAUGUUCUAUAUCAGAAAUUAAAGCUAAUGUGAUCUGUCCGAUGCAAUUUUCUGAAUCAGCACCCCAAAUAACCAAACUGAAUCUAAAGUUGACCAAAAAUGGAUUAGUAAUCCUUUUGGUACUAAUAUUGGAGAGUGGUCCCUGGUCAAAGUGGUCCCUGGUCAAAAAAAGGUUGGGAACCACUGUUCUACAGUGUAGAUGCACCCUUAGACAUCAUUAGCUUUCUCAUAUUGACAUCAUUACUGGCUGGCUGGCGCAUAUUCAGCUUAUGAUCCAUUAAAACAUUUAAAUCCUUUAGAUUCCCCACAGCCUAUAAUUGUGCCUAUGAUUUUUGGCAUACCUAAGUGCAAGACUUUACCACUAUGAAUACUGAAUUCCAUUUGUUAGUUUUGGCCCAGCAUUCCAGUCUAUUUAUAGUGUCCUGAAUUUAUCCUUUCAUCUGUGGAGAUGCUGUCCCCCCAGCUUCCUUUGAUAAGGAAUCCCUUUUCACCUACAUCUUAGUGAUUUAUGAAAAAUAAAAAUAGGCCUUUCAUGGGUAAAUAAAUGGAAAGCACUAUAGAAGAUAACACAGAAUAUCAAAUAUCAUUCCUUGCAUUUUGAAGUGUGCAAGUACUCAGCCUAAACAAUUUGGGGGCUCCCACAUUUCUGGCACAUCAUGGUUCACAGAUGAAAAUAAUCAUAAUUUCAUAACUGCAGUAACAUUGCUGUGCUGGUUGUCAGCUCCACUUUAGGUUAAUGGUCCCUCUAACAAAUUAGGGCUGGAAGAAUAGAGCAAGGGUAACCCUCCCAAUGAAAUAGACUUUGGACUUGCAGUAAUGAGCAGGAUACCUGGAAAAAUACUGCCCUCAGAAGCAUUUGGAUCGUGUCUAGUUUAAUAUAUUUCUUUUUGGUACAGUAUUCUUGGUACCCUAUAAAGAGAAACACAUGGAGAAGUAUAUUUGUUUUAUUCCACUGUUAGUUCAACAUGGUUUAGCCCAUUUUAUUUUCGUGCCUUCUUUAGGGUACAUAUUGAAAUAUCCUGAAAGCAUCUCUGAAAGGUGACAAAAGAACUGGGUAUACUUUUCCCCGUAGUAUGUUGAGACUCUUUUAGCAUGUAUUCUUUUUUCAAUGUCUGUAUCUCUUGCUUUAUCAUUGGCAAUAAUUAAUCACAGAAUCAUAGAGUUGGAAGAGACCUCAUGGGCCAUCCAGUCCAACCCCCUGCCAAGAAACAGGAAAACCGCAUUCAAAGCACCCCCGACAGAUGGCCAUUCAGCCUCUGCUUAAAAGUCUCCAAAGAAGGAGCCUUCACCACACUCUGAGGCAGAGAGUUCCAUUGCUGAACAGCUCUCACAGUUAGAAAAUUAUUUCUAAUAUUCAGGUGGAAUCUCCUUUCCUGUUGUUUGAAGCUAUUGUUCUGCAUCCUAGUCUCCAGAGCAGCACAAAACAAGCUUGUACUAUGCUCCCCAUGACUUCCCCUCACAUAUUUAUACAUGGCUUCUAACCCUUCAUCUAAGUAAUAAAGAUGUUGAAUAGAACCGGGCCCAGGACGGCACGCCACUCGUCACUUCUUUCUAAGAUGAAGAGACGCAUUAGCGAGCACCCUUUGGGUUCGUUCACUUAGCCAAUUAAAGAUCCACCUAACCGUAGUUUUGCCAAGCCCACAUUUGACUAGUUUGUUUGCCAGAAGGCCAUUGGACCCUGUCAAAGGCCUUAUUGAAAUCCAGGUAUGCAACAUCCAGUGUUACCUGCAUCGACCCAGCUUGUAACUCUAUCAAAAAAAUGGCUGGAAACAGUUGUUAAUAAUUAUGACCAUAUAUCAGGGCCAAAUCUGAUGGCUAGGUGGACUUUUCAGCUUUAAUUAUUGCAUGACAGAAGACAUUUCCUUGCUCUGGUUGAAAUUCUCACUUUUACACACUUGUAAAAGUUGCAGCCCUGUCCUCUAUUACACCUGGUAACCCUCUGAGCCAAUAUGAUAUGUUCUAAAACAUUGACUACAGUUUCGCAAAGGUGAGAAUGAGAAAAUUGGACUACAGCACCACACAUCUGGUUCAUUACUUUUCCAAGAGGAAAUUGUUCUCCUUUCCACCUGUAUCUGAAAAUAACUGUAAAACUGCUGAAUGGUGAUAUUUGGAAAACAAUCAUUUUAUUUCUUUGGAGAAAGGAAGACACCAAGAUUCCUAGAAACAACACGGUUAAUAUUUAUUAACAACCCUUGAGGGGUUGUUAAUGCAUUGCUAACCCAAUCUACACAGCUAGCAGAAAUUUUGGAGUUUUCUCCCCCUUUCCCUCUCUCUCCCUAUUAAAAACUAGCUUUGGGGUGUGUUUUAUCCCUCAAGAGCUGGCUUUUGGAGGCACACAGGGGCGGGGGCUACGGUGGAGAGAAUAAUUCUGUCAGCAGAGGUCUACCAAUGGAUCCUGCCCAUAAAAUCUUAUUAAGAGCUACUGUGAAAACACUUGACAGCUUCUAAAUGUAUCAUUUCGGUGUUGUAAAAGCUGUUGAUGGUAACUCAAUGGAUUCUUGCCUGCAAUUUUAGUGCCCCUAGUAUGGGAGUAAAAAUAAGGAAAGUUGACUUUCCAGAGAUGCCAUCUGCUGGAUAAGAUGUAAAGGAGAUAUGAUAAUUACUUCAGUUAAUUAAAGACCCCAGGCCAUAUUUUCUACAUGUAGGUAGUUAAUCCAAGUGCUCUGGCAAAGUUCCAGCUCCAGUUAUUACAUACUGAUGGCCUACAUUCUCUUUCAAGAGCAAUAUGGAAUGUGUCUCUCCUUGCCUUUUUAUGGUAUAAUGCAGAAGCUGCCGCACCAGAGAAAGGGAAAGUGCAAACGCAGGAGAGGAACUGUCAGAGCUGACAUGACCUAUUGCUGAAUGGACAGAAGAACAGUGGGCAGAAAAUACAGAAGGAAACCUUGGGCAGUAGCUGCAUGAAAGCAGGCCUGUUGAGAGCUGGCACUGGGCUUUGGGCAAAAUACAUGAUCAAGGGGCCCUCUCUAAAUUUAGCACCAGGCCUUAUAGACAGUGGUGUCAUUCACCUGAUUUGCACUGGUUUGCCUGAACCAGUUGUUAAAUUGCUAAAAGACACAAUGGCUGAGGAGGUUAAAAGCAGUGGCAUGUGAAAAAACCAAAGGAGCUAAGGAGGAUGGAGAGAUGACAGGUACAGGAAAAUUCUUCCCAACCAAGCAUUUUCUUUAACACCCUUCACACAUUUGCUGUUAGAACAAUAAGAUAUUAGUCAGAAGGAAUUUUCCACAUGCCUCUAACCCCAGCCAUGGGCAAACUUUGGCCCUCCAGGGGUUUUGGACUUCAGCUCCCACAAUUCCUAACAGCCUACCAGCUGUUGCCCAGAGGGCCGCAGUGGUGCAAUGAGUUAAACCCUUGUGCUAUUGAACUCCUGACCUGAAGGUUGGCUGUACUGCUGACCUGAAGGUUGGCAGUUAGAAUCUGUUGAGACCGGUUGAGCUCCUGUCAGCCCAGUUCCUGCCAACCUAGCAGUUUGAAAACAUGCAAAUGUAAGUAGAUAAAUAGGUACUGCUUUGGGGGGAAAGACAGAGAUGUUCCAAAGCAAUCUCACCAGCCACAAGACCAGGAGGUGACAAUGGAGACUCCUUGGCUUGAAAAUGAAGAAAAAGUACCUCCCAGAGCCAGAGAUGAGCACCACCUCCAGAAGCCGGAAAUGAAAGGAGAAGCCUUGCCUUUGUUUGUGUUUGUGUGUCUCAUGUGAUUGUAAAGGCAUUGAAUUUUGCCUAUGUAUGUAAAUGCUGUAAUCCACUCUGAGUCCCCUAGGGGAGAAGUGGAGAAUAUAAAUAAAGUGUAUUAUUAUUAUUAUUAUUAUUAUUAUUAUUAUUAUUAUUAUUAUUAUUAUUAUUAUGUACAGUAUUUAUUUAUUUACAGUAUGUAUAUUCCACCCUUCUCACCCCGAAGGGGACUCCGGGCGAAUCACAAUGUACACAUACAUGGCAAACAUUCAAUGCCAUAUGAACAUAGAGACAGAGACACAGAGGCAAUUUAAUAUCUCCAGCUGCUGACUUCUUGGGGGUAUGCUCAAUUCCAGCCACAGGGGGAGCUGCUGCUUCAUCAUCCACUGUGACGUCGAGUCCUUGAUGGAUUACUUCCUCAUCUUCUGGCACACACACUGCUGGACAUUUUUAUGGUGGUGCAAAUUAGUUAAAUUAGUCUCCCUGCACAAGCGGUCCCUAAAUUUCCUACUUGACAGAUGCAACUGUCUUUCGGGUUGCUUAAGUAAACAACAAGCUGAGGCUAUUUAUGGUCGGCACUUAAUUCGGCCCAGGCUUCAAACUCAUAAUCUCUUGGUCAAUAGUGAUUUAUACUGGGGCUGCGCCACAGCCCGGCCCCAGUAUCAUCAUCAUCAUCAUCAUCAUCAUCAUCAUGCCUGCUCUACCCUAUACAUGCUGCCUCUAAUACAUUUCCCAUUUGCUCAGUUACGCAUUAUAGUUAUGUACAGGUGGAUAGACUCAAUAAAAGAAGAUGUGUCCCUAAAACUACAAAACUGAAGCAGGGCAGUUGGUGAUAAGAUAAUUUGGAGGUCUCUAAUUCAUAGGAUCACCAUAAGUUGAAGUUGACUUUGAAAUAGUUAACAACUAUCUGAGCAACCAUACCAUAUGACCAGGUAUGUUGCAAGCACAUAAAAAGACUCCUCUAUCUUUCCUCUCUUAUUCCUCUGGCUAGUGAGGGAAGGCUCUGCUGAGUUUCUCCUCUUCUUGAAACUUGAAACAAGAGCUUAGAAACCGCAUGUGUACACUGCAUAAUAAAUGCAUGUAUAUAAAACCAAUCUUCAUUUUCCCCAGAAAAAGGUGUCAAUGCUUUAGGAAUCUACUUUUAAUCCGACAAGAGGAUCAGAGAAGAGGGAAGGUCUGGACAUACCAGAGCCGGGUGGAGAGCUGGGGAUGUGAUACACUAAGCGUCCCAUUGUCCAGUGUGGCUGCUGCUGCGGGUCUGGAGGAAACAUUGGCCAUACGCAGAGCUGGGGAAGCAAUAUUGCCCGCUCCUGGGAUGCUGGCAGAGAGGCCAGAAGUAUCCCUAGGUAAAGGAAUCCUGGCAGGUCAUAUUCCCACAUUUUACCUUGAAUUAUUUUGAAUUACACUAUGGACAGUUGAGAUAUCAUCAUUUAUUUUAUAAUGUAAUUUACACACGUAUAUAUACACAGAGGUGUGGGUGUCCCAAGGUCUAGGCUUUAGGGAUUUUGUUUCCCUGCUACUCCUGCUUGAAACCAUAGAGAUAUAGCUAGAUUGGUAGCAGUACUCCAAACGGAUAAAAUUAUAAUAUUCAACAAACCAUUCCUACCCAACUAACAUUUGGGUGGGAAAAUUCUAUGGAAUUCUUCUUAUCUAUGAGGUUAAUUCACUCAUACCGACACAGCAACAUAAAACUCUAUUUUUGGCAAUUUACUCUUAUAUAGUUGCAUGUGAAUAGGUUCUGUGAGUAUUUCAAACCAUGAAAUUUAAAGCAACCAGGGUUAAAAUUUGCUAAACGAUAUGUAAGUAAGAGUGGAUCUAAACAGUAUAUCCUUCAUGUGGAAGCCACCAAAGAAUGUAUCUUGACAGCACUAUACAUCAUGGGCAGAACAUUUUAAAGUUCCUUACCACAUGUAUCUCCCCAACCACAUGCACUAUCUGUGUGCCAGCACUGUCUCCAUGCGGGAUAUACGGAUCUGGUGGGCAGAUGUUGCAUGGAGUUGUAGAAAAACAAGCUGCAAGGAACAUUAAUAUUUUAUGGCCAUUACGCAGAAUGCAAAUGUGUGUGUGGUGUGUAUGUGUAUGUGUGUGGGGGGGGGGGAGGAUUCAGAAGCUCCAUUUGGUUAUCAUAGUGUUUUACUUAGUCAAUGACCAUCCAGGUUAAUCCUUGUGCAAGUAGAACUGAUGAGUUAUAUUUGACUGCAACACACUCACGGCUCAAUCUGACAUUGUGUUAGCAGUGAACUACUACAGGCAGACCCCAAAUUAUGAACAUCCAACUUAAAUAUGACUCCUAGUUACAGACGGGGGUGAUACUACAGGAAGUGAGAAGAAAUCUACUCCUAGGAAGGGAAAUCAACUCCUGGAAGUUAUCACAGAAAGUUAUCCACUCGGUCUCACUUCCGUCUCAAGCGUGGUUGGUGGGGAUGAGGGAGAGGGCCUUCUCGGUGGUAGCCCCCUGGCUUUGGAAUGCCCUCCCCAGAGAAAUUAGACAAGCCCCCCUACUCCGCAAUAUUUUCGCAAGGAGCUGAAAACAUGACUUUUUAAACAUGCCCUCGACAAUGCCUAAAAAAUCAGCUGCCCAAAUAAAUAAGACUCUGGCACUCUAUGUCAAUUAGAAUUUAGUAUUGUCCAUUUUAAUUGCUAUCACUGUAUUUUUAUUGAAUAUCUUAUUUAAAUUGACUUGGGUUUUACUUUUGUAAGUGUUAUUUAUGUUUUGAUAUUGUGUUGUUACUAAUGUUGAUGUAUUUGACUUGUAUUUUAUGUGUUAUAGCACUAAGAUGUGCUGUCUUGUAAGCCGCCCCGAGUCCCUUUGGGAGACGGUAGCUGGAUGUAAAUAAAGUUGUUGUUGUUGUUAUUAUUGUUGUUGUUGUUAUUCAAUAAUCCUGGUUUCCAUGAAAACCCAAAACAUUAAAAAUCCAAGGUGAAAUCUUCUGAACAAAGGGACAGAUAGCAAAACAAACACCACAGGGGUGUUAACCCUUCCCUAUGCUAUCCAAAGCUGUCUGUCUGUCUGCCUGCCUGCCUGCCUGCAUGGGCUGGUCCAUGAGGUCACAAAGAGUCGGAAGUGACUGAACAAAUAAACAACAACAAUAUAUAUAGGUCUGUAGGUUUGUUAAGUUGCAUUUGUAUGCAAGUCAGAAUAGGUGCCAUAUAGCCGGAGUUACACUUUAAAAUGCACUUUUUCUGAUUUACAUACAAACCUACAGAACCUACCUGUAGGACUGUCUGGAUACAUGAAAGGACAUCCUUUCUCCUUCUUCGUUUGCUGACCAAGAAACUCUAGGUCCUCCAAUGAGAUCCUAUGACCAACUUUCACCAAAUGUCAACCACAAAGUCCUACGAGAAAAGCUAGAAAUUCCUAGAGAGAUGUUAUCUCAGAUAAAAGCAAUAGAAAUGUCUUUGUUCACCAUUUUUAACUUUCAUGGGGGUCCUGUGCUCCUAAUGACAGUGAAUGUGGAAGGCUGUACUUAGAUAAUCUCUUAAAGAGUGAAAGUUGCUAGUUCCCUUUUGUCUGGUACCACUAGAAGCUGUUCAUCUGAAAGCACCUUCACUUUCAAAACAUGGAAAAGCUACUGACAAAAAUGCAAGCUCUAAUAGGGAACUAGCUGAGCAGAUCUUUGGAUCCUUAUGUUUUCAAUCUUGGCUUCAAACAACCGGAAAGGUGAAAAGUGAUAAUUUCAUAACCUAAUAGGGAUGCCGUUUUAAUGGUGGAAUCAAGGAAAAUCUGAUGAAUGCCAGCACCGGGAGUAGAUUUCCUUAAGAUCCAAUGAAGCCAUGCAUAAAUGGCUCCCUAAAUGAGAGUCACUUUUCAAUGGAGUCACCCUCCAAAUUUAAAAUGGUUUGAAACAGGCAUUUUGUCUCACCCUUAUCCCUGAUCAAGCAGGUUUAGUAAACUUUUGAAAAAAUACUAAAUGCCUGGUUUAUCAAGAGAGAGAGAGAGAGUCAGAUGUGUAUACACACCAUGAACAGCUAUCCUCAUUUGAAAACAAUUUUAGUGCACUGUAGAAAAAAAAUCAUUUCCAGCCUCGAACAGGCACGACAGUGGAGCUGUUUUGUGUGUCUGAUAAGCAGUCAGCAUGCAGGACUGCUCUUGCAUAGCGACACUAGUGUUCUUCAAAAUUAAACUGUCAGAAAUGUUAAGUUGCUAAGGGGAAAAAAGUAAUACUUCUACUACCGUGAGCCCAGAGUAUAAAUUUUCUCUCCCAUUGUGUUUUGUUCCACCAUUUAACUACUCCUUUUUCCCUCACACUGUUUGUUGACAGGCAAUCUACAACACAGCAUAGCACCACUAAAAGAAUGAGAACACAAUCUAAGCAUUUCUGAAUAAUAGAGGAUUUACACAAAUUACUUGUAAGGUAAAUGAAAAACCUAAACAUGAUGAGAGGGAAACAAAACCGAAAAGCAUCAUGAGAAGGACUUGGGGUUGCUGUCCCUUAUGUGUCUGGUACGUUUUACCUGAAAACCUGUAAUGUUUAGUGAAGAUGUGGAAGUUAAUCCUGCUCUGCAGUAUUUUGUGCAUUUGUUGAACUGGAAUGUUGAAUUUGUAAUUUCGGCAACACCUUGUGUCAGUUGCACCUAAAGGGCAGCAUUGUUGAAUCCUGAUUCCUGACAUUCUGUCGAGCCACAAGGAGGCAUUAAGUCUCUAACAGCGCAUGCCACCUACACACUUGUUGUCCUUUGGAUUCCUUCAUCUCAGUCCAGUGGUUGAGUUCCUCUUCACCAGAACUGUUAAGGCCCAAAGCAAUCCAGCCUAUCAUUUCCUUUCGCUUCAUGCUGCGCUUGUUAUACACAGACAAUAUGAGCGUAACGUCAGAAAGCUGAAACAGUGCCACUUGGAAAAUGAAGGUCUCUUUAUAGACUGGAUUUGGUUGCCCUCUGCGGAUGGAAGUCUUGCAUUUGGACAUCUCUUGACCCAUGGAAUUCAACAAUGUCAGCUUAACAAACGUAUCUGUAAAAUAAACCAUUUGCUACAUGAACAUAUAUUCCACAAAGGAUUUCUUCUAUCGCAAAACAACAGAAUACCUUACAAGGUUAUGGUGUAUACCAUAUAGUAUUUUGAAUAAUUGACUGAACUUAGUAAUGUGAAGACAAGGACAUAAAUAUUUGAUUUAAAUAUUUACUUAAUCUUAUUCAUUUUUUUAUAUCAAGUAGAUUUAAAGGUAUACCGCAUAACCCUUCUAAUCCACUGCCCCUUGUUUAUUUGCAUCAAGCAGACAAGUGUAGCAUUAACAUUAAGCAAGCUACAACUGGCCACAACACUGUGAAGCGUAUCAGAGCUUUCUGAUAAUGUGAACAGGUGACUUUAAAAUUGAAAUAAACAUAAAUAAAGUAAGAGUAACAAUGGGAGUGGAGUGCAGUGAUAUAUCAUGAGAACACAUGAUGAAAUGUUUGCUGAAACAACAGAUCUCUGCAUGGAUGUGGUCUGCAUUCAGUUUAAAUUUGUGAAUGUUUAAAAUGCCAAGAUACAAAAAGAAAAAUGGACUGUAAAGUUGAUGUUAGCUCAUCUGAGUGAAGUUCUUCAUGCUGCCUAUUGUAAUAUGUAUAUAUAAAAGGUAGAACAAUAUAUUACUAGAGUAUUGUUGCUUUAUAAUGCUUUUAAGAAGUGGGGUAACAACACUUAAAAUAUUUAGGGCACAAUCCAAAAAUUUGCAUCCACAGAAAAUAUUAUAUUCAACUGCUCAAUGAAGAAGUCAGAGACAUCAUUGUCCGUGAAGUUUUAUAUAUGCACUGGAGCUACUGGAUCUUGACCAUGAAUUCAUUAACUCAUUAUUGCAGAGUUUUUCAUUUUGCCUGAGAAAAUACAAUUGUAGCAACACAUGCAACAUGCUGCAUCAAUUCAGAUGGGAAUGCAUUUUAUUCAGAAUUAGAAGAUUUCUUUGUCUCCCCACCCCUUGGAUUUCUACAUGAAAUUGGAAUAUUUGUAAUGCCAAAGGAAUAAAAUUGUCCAUCCAGAUA